rnacentral:rRNA from 1 species
CCUACGUGAUGCUGCAGUGGGGAAUAUUGGACAAUGGGCGAAAGCCUGAUCCAGCCAUGCCGCGUGUGUGAAGAAGGCCUUCGGGUUGUAAAGCACUUUCAGUGGGGAAGAAAGCCUGGGGGCUAAUACCCUCGAGGAAGGACAUCACCCACAGAAGAAGCACCGGCUAACUCCGUGACAGCAGCCGCGGUAAUACGGAGGGUGCGAGCGUUAAUCGGAAUUACUGGGCGUAAAGCGCGCGUAGGCGGUCUGAUAAGCCGGUUGUGAAAGCCCCGGGCUCAACCUGGGAACGGCAUCCGGAACUGUCAGGCUAGAGUGCAGGAGAGGAAGGUAGAAUUCCCGGUGUAGCGGUGAAAUGCGUAGAGAUCGGGAGGAAUACCAGUGGCGAAGGCGGCCUUCUGGACUGACACUGACGCUGAGGUGCGAAAGCGUGGGUAGCAAACAGGAUUAGAUACCUAGUAGUC